rnacentral:rRNA from 1 species
CAGUAGCCGCGGUAAUACGUAGGUCCCGAGCGUUGUCCGGAUUUAUUGGGCGUAAAGCGAGCGCAGGCGGUUAGAUAAGUCUGAAGUUAAAGGCUGUGGCUUAACCAUAGUACGCUUUGGAAACUGUUUAACUUGAGUGCAAGAGGGGAGAGUGGAAUUCCAUGUGUAGCGGUGAAAUGCGUAGAUAUAUGGAGGAACACCGGCGGCGAAAGCGGCUCUCUGGCUUGUAACUGACGCUGAGGCUCGAAAGCGUGGGGAGCAAACAGGAUUAGAUACCCCAGUAGUCCCUGUCUCUUAUACA